UCCCUCUUGGCUCAGUUGGUUGUAGUGUCAGCUUAUGAUUAGUAAUCCAAGUUGGCAGAUGGUUUUGGGUUCGAAUCCCAGACUUGGCA